GCCUGGGUGGCUCAGUUGGUUGAGCGUCCGACUUCGGCUCAGGUCAUGAUCUCGCGGUUCGUGAGUUCGAGCCCCGCGUCAGGCU
rnacentral:tRNA from 1 species